rnacentral:sRNA from 1 species
GAAGCGACGCGUGUGAAAACUCUGCUGAACUAUGCACCCAAUCUAACUCAAGAGUCAAUAGUUGCUUCUCUUUCGCUGUCGCGAUCCUGUCAUCCUCACUCUCUGUUCAAGUGCGACUUCUAACCAACAAUAUGACCAAAGCCAAGUAGCAGCAGGGGUGCAGCAGAAGAACAAGCUUUAGUAGCUUGCUGAUGGUGAUAUACAUAUGUAUAUAUGAAGGUACUUCAACUUUGAAAGAAUUCUGCUACCUCUGUUAUAGCAAAGGCAAGGAAAUGUCAACGACAAUGAGAAUUAAACAUAUUGAUCCCACCACUAUGCUGAAGCGGAGGCAUCGAGAUUUAUCUGAAAAAUUCUUAUCACAUGUCACAAUUUAGUUCCAGUCGAGGAGUCGAACAAGCAUGUCGAGAGAAAAAAAAAAACAAAGCCAAGAGGGAUCAGCUGUUAUUUUUCCCAAUGCGGUUGCUCCGACUCCAAAAUUAAUGACACAAAAUGAAAUGUGGAAAGUGAUGCUGUCAACAACACUUGUUGGAUUGGAUUGGAUUGGAUUGGAUUGAAGACACAAGCCACUGAGAGGACGGGUCGAGGGAAGGCCGUCUGCACCAUCAAUCUGCUAUCUGAGAUGGAGAUGCCAUUCGCAGUGAAAUUGAACAAGCGGCAGUACGACACGGGCACUGGCGAAAUGUCUGGCGUUAAUACGGCUAUUGCUCACAGAACAAUUUAUAAAAUCCAAGUACAACAGGAGUGGGCGUGGACCUUAUAAUAUGAUAGUUCUUUUUUCAGAUUUCCCGUGGCAGUCAAAGUUAAGGUUCCUCUCCGUCAGAUCUUUACCCGCCUGUCGGAUUGAUGCACAAUUGGUGCUUGUCUGGUCCACCACUUGGUAAUUGGCAGCCAGGCGACCAGACCACCGAUCGAUAACAAUAAAAUUGUUAAAAGCGCAAAAUGCCGCAAAGAGUGUAAUUUGUCGAGCACAUGAACAGGGAGAGGAACGACCCAGGUCCAAAAACCAGGCGUAUUUGAAUUCAUCAAUGGCGUGUUUAAGCAGUUUGUCAGCGACACGUGGCAGAGCGGCUGUUGGCCUUUCGAGUUUGCUGGCAACAGCAGGCGGUGACGGUGACGUUGGCUGUGCUAAAGGAACGAUUACAAACGAGGAAGAGGAUAAGAACGAGGGCCGGGCCGUGUGUCGAUGCUGAUGAUGAUGUAAAACGUCAGUACUAUUCAAAAACAGCCACCACCACAACCCCACCCUCACGACUCACAGCUGGAUACGAGGUGCAGUAAAUAGAGAUUUAAACGCCCAUACUGGCUGGCUGGCCACUUUGCCGCUUGGCGUUGUCAACGCAACGCCACGCCACGGAGCGACAAUGGCUCAGUUGUAAUACCCAUUCGUUCCCACUCAUUGUUAUAAACUAAAUUGCUAAAAUUCGUAUACCGUACAGCACGGCUUGUAAAAAUCAAACGACGCCUUAACUUAAGGGUAUGCUUCUUUGAUUCGUCCUUUGGGAAUCGUCAUUUUUUUCCUCUCACAUUAGUACAUAGUUAACCCUUUAACAUCAAAAACUUACUGAAUCAAUAUUUUUCUUCAAAUUAUCACUUUCUUACUUGCGGUACCCUGAUUGUCGGCGCGGUACAGUUCUAAAUAAGAUAUUUUUAUACAGGGUAUAUUAUAUGUUUUUAAACACUUCAUCUUAGAGAAUU